rnacentral:lncRNA from 1 species
CUGCCACCUUCCCUCACUUCUGGAAUAGCUUCAACCUGUGGCUCAACUUAGCUUUCCAAGGCAUCAUCAUCACAGCCUGCCUAUACAGUUGCUUUAAUUUAAGCAACAUUUAUUCAGUACCUAUUAUGUGUCAGACUCCAGCUAGGAAUACAAUGAUCAGGAAACCAUCUGGGGGAGGCUACGGGUAUAAAUAGCUAUAACGUGUGAGAUAUGACAUGACAGAAAGUAGAAGCUAUGAGGGGUACAGAGGAUGAAAUAGUGAAUUAGGAACAGUGGGGGUCAGUGAAAGUUAUUAGGGGAGUUAAACACUGGUUCAUGUGGAAGAACCAUUUCAUAGGCUUAAAAAAACAUAGUCAUUUAUAGGUUGAAACCUUAUCUUGGGAUUCCAGCUUUUCAAUCUGUAACAUUAUAUGUAUUAUUCAGGACUCUUUUGGGGGUUAAUGGCAGAAAAGUAACUCAAAUUGGUAUAAGCUAGAAAAUAAGAUAGUUGACUGGCAUCACAA